CACUUGAGAGACCCUGUUUUUUUAAUAUGAACAUUUUCAACRUUUUUAAAUGUUUUCAUUAUUUUUAUUUUAUUUUAUUUGUUGAAGUCAUGUACACUGGCGUAAACGUUCGAACAACGUGUGCCUGCAUGAAAGUGUGUGCAUGCUUAAUGUUGUUUUCUGCUCGACUGGCCGGCUGGCUGCGCCGGUGYGCUCCUCCUGUUCAGGUUUGCACAUGACCCCGGCUCCUUGGGGAGGUCCGAGUCUUUCACGGCGGCCUCCUGUUCGCUUCUGCCUCGAAUCUGGGUCAAAGGAUAAAAGAAUCGCCCCCAUUCGCCACGACUCUAACGCAGAACGACGCACGCCGGCCGCCCUGAAAAAUGGCUUCCUGGAAAUUCAGCGUUGUGAAGGACACUGCUGAGAAUUAACGCAGCAGACUCAUUGUCCUAAAUCUGGACUGUUGUCUGYUAACAAGGGUUAUUCACAGCACAGGUUACUCAUCCAGCCCUCCCAUGACUAACAUCACAACUCGGUUUGUUGCAGUUCAGCUCACRGUUAAUGUUAUACAGAACAAGGAGGAAAGGAGCUGUUUGACAAGUUGGCAGCAAUUCUGGCGCCUCUUUGUCCAUUUCUUUCUGAAAGUCUGCCUUCCUCCGUCUCUUGGUGACUUUCACUCUCUCCAGCCUUCAAGUAAGCCCCUCCAACAAUGCUGAUGCUCUGGACCAGAUUCAGCCCACAGAGGAGGAAGGAGUCAUGCUGGGGAAUUAGUGUGUGACAGUGUGUGUGUGCAAGGAUUCACGGAUGUACUGAGGACGCAGAGGAUUGUUCCUGCUCUGGGAUUGUCUGCCCUUCCUGUAACAUUAACCACUGUGAUCCUCAGGCUUGGACCGAGACAGUGAAGCAUCUCAGGUGCUGAUCUUCUGUCUUUACCGGCCAAAGCACASGGAGUGAGACACAGAGGCAUCUUGGGAAAUUACCUCACAGACAGACGGCACGUUGAGACUUCAUUAGCUCGUCCACAGUCUGAUCGAACUGAGCGGCUCUCAAGAAGUGGAAGACAUCAGAAGUACAACACGGCCCACCGUCUGUCUCCUGCUCCACGUCUCAGAAUCCAGCCCCUCACCAUGACCCCAUCUUUCCCUUUUCCACAUAUUGUGUUGCCUUUCACCGCUGCACUUAUUGCUUCCUCUGAUUAAUCUUCCUCCUCGCUUCCCCUGACGGACCGGUCUGAGUCGGUAUAGACUUCCUGUUGGUUUUCAAAACAACUCUUCAUGUCAGCCUCCCU